CGCUUGUUUUUUUGUCUGUUUGCGUCUGCAGUCGAGCGGUAUAGAGAAAUUGCUUCUCUUGAGAGCGGCGGACGGGUGAGUAAUGCCUAGGAAUCUGCCUGGUAGUGGGGGAUAACGUUCGGAAACGGACGCUAAUACCGCAUACGUCCUACGGGAGAAAGCAGGGGACCUUCGGGCCUUGCGCUAUCAGAUGAGCCUAGGUCGGAUUAGCUAGUUGGUGAGGUAAUGGCUCACCAAGGCGACGAUCCGUAACUGGUCUGAGAGGAUGAUCAGUCACACUGGAACUGAGACACGGUCCAGACUCCUACGGGAGGCAGCAGUGGGGAAUAUUGGACAAUGGGCGAAAGCCUGAUCCAGCCAUGCCGCGUGUGUGAAGAAGGUCUUCGGAUUGUAAAGCACUUUAAGUUGGGAGGAAGGGUUGUAGAUUAAUACUCUGCAAUUUUGACGUUACCGACAGAAUAAGCACCGGCUAACUCUGUGCCAGCAGCCGCGGUAUUUCAGAGGGUGCAAGCGUUAAUCGGAAUUACUGGGCGUAAAGCGCGCGUAGGUGGUUUGUUAAGUUGGAUGUGAAAUCCCCGGGCUCAACCUGGGAACUGCAUUCAAAACUGACUGACUAGAGUAUGGUAGAGGGUGGUGGAAUUUCCUGUGUAGCGGUGAAAUGCGUAGAUAUAGGAAGGAACACCAGUGGCGAAGGCGACCACCUGGACUAAUACUGACACUGAGGUGCGAAAGCGUGGGGAGCAAACAGGAUUAGAUACCCUGGUAGUCCACGCCGUAAACGAUGUCAACUAGCCGUUGGAAGCCUUGAGCUUUUAGUGCGCAGCUAACGCAUUAAGUUGACCGCCUGGGGGAGUACGGCCGCAAGGUUAAAACUCAAUGAUUGACGGGGGCCCGCACAACCGGUGGAGCAUGUGUUUUAUUCUAGCAACGCGAAGAACCUUACUGGCCCUUGUCUAUCCAAUGAACUUUUCUAAGAAGAUGAU
rnacentral:rRNA from 1 species